AAAAAAAAAAGAAAGAAAAGAGGACCAGAAGGUUUGGUUAAGCAGUGAUGGGGUGAUGGACACGACACCUGGACAUGACACCUACAGAUGAUUUCCUACAGAAGGAACAUAGAAGCAAAAAUUACGGACCACCGCUACAGACUGAUUCCCUCAAGUGGCCAGAACAGAGAACACAGGCCGAGCUUCCAGCUGCUGGGCUCCAAAUUGCGUGAAGUAGAUGGUGGUGACUGAAAAUGAGGAGAACUGCACGUUUUGGAUGCAGCCAGUGAGACACUUCUAUCAAAUCUCUGCUCGCUUACAAAAAGGAUACAAAGUCAAAGCAUACAGAAAUCAAGAGUGGAGGCAGUGAAAACAUUUGGAACGAAUGGAUG
ensembl:lncRNA